rnacentral:misc_RNA from 1 species
AAGAACCGGAUGCGGGAAAACCGCACGUCCGGGUCUGUGCGGGGGCGCCCAGUGACGGGCGUUCCUGGCGAAAAUACCUUGGCGCAAAUACCCUUGACAAUCUGCCUGUCCCAAA